AGUCGAGCGAACAGAUGAGAAGCUUGCUUCUCUGAUGUUAGCGGCGGACGGGUGAGUAACACGUGGGUAACCUACCUAUAAGACUGGGAUAACUCCGGGAAACCGGGGCUAAUACCGGAUAAUAUUUUGAACCGCAUGGUUCAAUAGUGAAAGACGGUUUCGGCUGUCACUUAUAGAUGGACCCGCGCCGUAUUAGCUAGUUGGUAAGGUAACGGCUUACCAAGGCGACGAUACGUAGCCGACCUGAGAGGGUGAUCGGCCACACUGGAACUGAGACACGGUCCAGACUCCUACGGGAGGCAGCAGUAGGGAAUCUUCCGCAAUGGGCGAAAGCCUGACGGAGCAACGCCGCGUGAGUGAUGAAGGUCUUCGGAUCGUAAAACUCUGUUGUUAGGGAAGAACAAAUUUGUUAGUAACUGAACAAGUCUUGACGGUACCUAACCAGAAAGCCACGGCUAACUACGUGCCAGCAGCCGCGGUAAUACGUAGGUGGCAAGCGUUAUCCGGAAUUAUUGGGCGUAAAGCGCGCGUAGGCGGUUUCUUAAGUCUGAUGUGAAAGCCCACGGCUCAACCGUGGAGGGUCAUUGGAAACUGGGAAACUUGAGUGCAGAAGAGGAGAGUGGAAUUCCAUGUGUAGCGGUGAGAUGCGCAGAGAUAUGGAGGAACACCAGUGGCGAAGGCGGCUCUCUGGUCUGUAACUGACGCUGAUGUGCGAAAGCG
rnacentral:rRNA from 1 species